GGUGCAUGGCUUAGUGGUCAGGGUAGUCAACUCUCAAUUGUUAGGCCAUGGGUUCGAUUCCUAGUGGUAUCC
rnacentral:tRNA from 1 species